GAUGAACGCUAGCGGCAGGCCUAACACAUGCAAGUCGAGGGAGAAGCUCUUCGGGGCAGAAACCGGCGCACGGGUGCGUAACGCGUAUGCAACCUACCUUUCACAGGGGGAUAGCCCGAAGAAAUUUGGAUUAAUACCCCAUAAUAUUAUUGGGUGGCAUCAUUUGAUAAUUAAAAUUACGAUGGUGAAAGAUGGGCAUGCGUCCUAUUAGCUAGUUGGAGUGGUAACGGCACCCCAAGGCUACGAUAGGUAGGGGUCCUGAGAGGGAGAUCCCCCACACUGGUACUGAGACAGGGACCAGACUCCUACGGGAGGCAGCAGUGAGGAAUAUUGGUCAAUGGUCGGAAGACUGAACCAGCCAUGCCGCGUGCAGGAAGAAUGCCUUAUGGGUUGUAAACUGCUUUUAUAUGGGAAGAAUAAGGAGUACGUGUACUUUGAUGACGGUACCAUAUGAAUAAAGCAUCGGUA
rnacentral:rRNA from 1 species